AAUGAGUUGGUUAGACGCUUUUCAUUAUAGGUCAUAUGGGGCUUUUUUCUACAAGAAACGACCCUAUAAUUCCUGGGGGUGGGAUUACCCACUAAAGAAAUUAUAGAGCC
rnacentral:ncRNA from 1 species